rnacentral:ncRNA from 1 species
UGCGAUGAGCCGAGUAGUCGACGAUGAGUCGACUUUCUCUAAACAGCGGCAUAUGAGAAUAACUCACCUGCCGGAUUGCAGGAUGCUGGCGAAAUAUUCUUGUGGAUGAA